CGCUUUGCAGUCUGCCCUGUGCCAUAUUUAGGACGGAGGAGGCAAAGCAGGUACCCUGGCUUUUGCGGUUCCUGGUCUUGAGCAAGACAUGCAGAUAUCUCUGGAUGUGAUUUUUCCCUGCUUCUGAAGAGCUGUAGGGCAUGUAUAUGCUGGGGAGAGGAGCCCCAAGGGAGAGGCACUGCUGAAAUGGCCUUUGGGGAGCAGUUGCUCGUGUUGCUCGGCUCAUUGAAAGGCUCUUACUGCUGCGGUGUUGGAGCAGCUCUCAAAGGUCCAUGGAGAAGGUUCUGGGUGCGUGGGUCUGGGCCUGUGAGAGGAGAGCCACGAUGCUGCAGUACAGACCAUGCCGAAACACCUAAGAGCACCCUUGCAAGGAUGGGAGCUGCAAGACCCAACGCAGAGAGAGGAAAGCCAGAGGGAAGCAGCUUACCCUGCACUCCCCAGAAAGCUAGGCAGCUUUCAGGAGCUGUGGUAAGCUCCUUCAACCAGCUCUUGCCAUGGAAAACAGCUUCAGCGCCAGCCACCCACUGUGCAUUUGCUGUGAUUCACUUUCCCUGCGCUGUGAGGGGGGUUUCCUCCCAGCGCUGACCUCACUCAGCAGACUCCCACGCAGGGCCGAGAGGACUUAAUUAGAUGCUCUCUGCUGGGCUUUGGAAAUGCUCUUCUUGGCUGGGUGACUUUCAAGCCGGAUAUGGGGGGCUGAAUGGCUAAGUGCUUUCAGGUCAAACAGUAGCUUGAUUUUCUUCCCUGUAAAGGACCAAGUGUUUCCCCAGUUCCAGGGAAGCAGCUGUGGAGUUUUUUAGGGUUUUUUUUGUUUUAUUUUGUUUUUUACCCCUCUGCUCUUCCUCCUGACCUCUUUCUGGAUCUUGGGCUUUUCAUGAGGAUGGUUUGACCCAGCCUGGAGAAUAUGGCAUUCACAACAUGCAGAUUCCUUGCAGUGGGACCUGGAGAGGCAAAAGCCUUCGGAGCCAUGCAGUGUCGGGAGCAGAACAACAGAAGUUAAGCUGUCAGCGACUGGCUGGCGAUUGGAUUGCCCUGGGGCUUUAAACUGUUUGGGAGAGUCUUGUCUUGGGUCGUGCAUUGCGUGGCCUCGCGUCCUUCGAGUCUGCGUAAGCCGAGCGCAGUGCGGAUGGCUCCUUGUGCCGUGGGAGGCUGAACGCGCGCUCCCCGAGGUGCACCCGCACUUGAAAAAUAGCCGAGGUGGGGUUAGAGGAGUGGGUGAAGGAAUGCAUUAGGCCUAACCGCAGCGAGGGGAAUGUCAAGAUGGGGAAAAAUGUCACCCUCAGAAACAAUUAAACUUCUUAAUAAAAUCCGUUGCCUUUCUGAGUGCUCA
rnacentral:lncRNA from 1 species